AGAGUUUGAUCAUGGCUCAGAGCGAACGCUGGCGGCAGGCCUAACACAUGCAAGUCGAGCGCCCCGCAAGGGGAGCGGCAGACGGGAGAGUAACACGUGGGAACGUGCCCUUUGGUUCGGAACAACACAGGGAAACUUGUGCUAAUACCGGAUAAGCCCUUACGGGGAAAGAUUUAUCGCCAAAGGAUCGGCCCGCGUCUGAUUAGCUAGUUGGUGAGGUAACGGCUCACCAAGGCGACGAUCAGUAGCUGGUCUGAGAGGAUGAUCAGCCUCAUUGGGACUGAGACACGGCCCAAACUCCUACGGGAGGCAGCAGUGGGGAAUAUUGGACAAUGGGCGCAAGCCUGAUCCAGCCAUGCCGCGUGGGUGAUGAAGGCCCUAGGGUUGUAAAGCCCUUUCGGCGGGGAAGAUAAUGACGGUACCCGCAGAAGAAGCCCCGGCUAACUUCGUGCCAGCAGCCGCGGUAAUACGAAGGGGGCUAGCGUUGCUCGGAAUCACUGGGCGUAAAGCGCACGUAGGCAGAUCUUUAAGUCGGUGGUGAAAUCCUGGAGCUCAACUCCAGAACUGCCUCCGAUACUGAGGGUCUUCGAGUCCGGGAGAGGUGAGUGGAACUGCGAGUGUAGAGGUGAAAUUCGUAGAUAUUCGCAAGAACACCAGUGGCGAAGGCGGCUCACUGGCCCGGUACUGACGCUGAGGUGCGAAAGCGUGGGGAGCAAACAGGAUUAGAUACCCUAGUAGUCC
rnacentral:rRNA from 1 species